rnacentral:rRNA from 1 species
GACGAACGCUGGCGGCGUGCUUAACACAUGCAAGUCGAGCGGUAAGGCCCUUCGGGGUACACGAGCGGCGAACGGGUGAGUAACACGUGGGUGACCUGCCCUCCACUUCGGGAUAAGCCUGGGAAACUGGGUCUAAUACCGGAUAGGACCUUCCGGUGCAUGCUGGUUGGUGGAAAGUUUUUCGGUGGGGGAUGGGCCCGCGGUCUAUCAGCUUGUUGGUGGGGUGAUGGCCUACCAAGGCGACGACGGAUAGCCGGCCUGAGAGGGUGAUCGGCCACACUGGGACUGAGACACGGCCCAGACUCCUACGGGAGGCAGCAGUGGGGAAUCUUGCGCAAUGGGCGAAAGCCUGACGCAGCAACGCCGCGUGAGGGAUGACGGCCUUCGGGUUGUAAACCUCUUUCGCGAUCGACGAAGGUCCAUCUUGUGGAUGGGCUGACGGUAGGUCGAGAAGAAGCACCGGCCAACUACGUGCCAGCAGCCGCCGUAACAC